rnacentral:rRNA from 1 species
UACGAAGGGUGCAAGCGUUAAUCGGAAUUACUGGGCGUAAAGCGCACGUAGGCGGUUUUUUAAGUCAGAUGUGAAAGCCCCGGGCUCAACCUGGGAAUUGCAUUUGAAACUGGAAAACUAGAGUGUGUGAGAGGGGGGUAGAAUUCCAAGUGUAGCGGUGAAAUGCGUAGAGAUUUGGAGGAAUACCAGUGGCGAAGGCGGCCCCCUGGCACAACACUGACGCUCAGGUGCGAAAGCGUGGGGAGCAAACAGG